rnacentral:rRNA from 1 species
AAAACUUUCAGCAACGGAUCUCUUGGUUCUCGCAUCGAUGAAGAACGCAGCGAAAUGCGAUAAGUAGUGUGAAUUGCAGAAUUCAGUGAAUCAUCGAAUCUUUGAACGCACAUUGCGCCUCCUGGUAUUCCGGGAGGCAUGCCUGUUCGAGAGUCAU